rnacentral:lncRNA from 1 species
AAGCAACUAGUUGGCUUUGUCCUUGGGGAAACCUGUCGAGCCUUUCUGUCUCAUUAUCUCUCAGAGUUUUCUCCUAAUGGAAUAGGACGAUGGACCUUAAUGGUUUAUCCUUCUUUCCCCAUCCCCUCUCCUCAGAGAGUGCUUCUUGAAUUAAAAACAGGCUGUAGCUCAGGAAUUUGGACAGAGCAAAACAGAAAUGGCUCGUCUCUGCUCCAUGAAGGCUGGUCCUCAACUGGGAAGACUCAAUGAACAAGUGGGAACUUCACAAUUGAGGGCUGGCAUCACCUGGACAGGUCUUCAGUCACAUGCUUAGCAAUGGAUGCUGGCUGUUGGCUGGGAA